rnacentral:tRNA from 1 species
GGUUCUGUAGUGUAGUGGUGAUCACUCUGGUUUUUGAAACGAAUUUACUUUAAGGUGGAUUUAAUGAAAAAUACCAGAAACCCCGGUUCGAACCCGGGCAGGACCU